rnacentral:rRNA from 1 species
GAAUUUUGGACAAUGGGCGCAAGCCUGAUCCAGCCAUGCCGCGUGCGGGAAGAAGGCCUUCGGGUUGUAAACCGCUUUUGUCGGGGAAGAAAUCUUCUGAGUUAAUACCUCGGGAGGAUGACGGUACCCGGAGAAUAAGCACCGGCUAACUACGUGCCAGCAGCCGCGGUAAUACGUAGGGUGCAAGCGUUAACCGGAAUUACUGGGCGUAAAGCGUGCGCAGGCGGUGAUGCAAGACAGAUGUGAAAUCCCCGGGCUUAACCUGGGAACUGCAUUUGUGACUGCAUCGCUGGAGUGCGGCAGAGGGGGAUGGAAUUCCGCGUGUAGCAGUGAAAUGCGUAGAUAUGCGGAGGAACACCGAUGGCGAAGGCAAUCCCCUGGGCCUGCACUGACGCUCAUGCACGAAAGCGUGGGGAGCAAACAGG